AUUUUGAUCCUAAUCUCAAUUAAAAAACAAUGCUUUGACAUUUCUUUAUUUCUGACAGAGAUCUGUGUCCUCUGCAAGCCCAUCCUUUCCCCACUUUACGUCUCUUGCGCGCCUCUUUCAAUAGCGAGGAAGAAGAAGACGAAUAACAAGAAAAUGUCUAGCAACGAAGACUCGGGUGAGGAGAUAGUUUCCAAUGGAGAUUCAUUUGGGAAAGUGAAGCAGAGGUUCAAGGCCCGAUCUAAGAAAGUGGCUCAAACCAAGGAAAUAUUAUCAAAACAAGCGAAUCAGACCAAGGAGAUAUUAUCUAAACAGGCAGUUAAGAUCGCAAAACAAGCCGAGGAACACGAGAGCUUUCUUAGUAAGGUAACUCAUCUUCUUGGUGUUCUUGGUUUUGGGGGAUUUUGCUUCCUCUUGGGCGCAAGGCCGCAAGAUAUUCCUUAUGUAUACUGUUUGUUUUAUGUCAUAUUUGUUCCUCUUCGGUGGAUAUACUAUAGGUUCAAGAAAUGGCAUUAUUAUCUUCUGGACUUCUGCUAUUAUGCCAAUACUAUCUUCUUGGUUGAUCUUCUUUUAUACCCAAAAAAUGAAAAGCUUUUCAUGGUUUGCUUUUCAUUUGCUGAAGGGCCAUUAGCUUGGGCAUUGAUUGUUUGGCGUUGUAGCUUGGUUUUUAGUUCUGUUGACAAAAUUGUCAGUGUCCUUAUACAUCUUUUACCGGGUUUAGUUUUCUUCACUAUAAGAUGGUGGAAUCCAGUGACCUUCGAAGCCAUGCAUCCUGAAGGAACUUCGAGAAGAGCAUCAUGGCCCUAUGUAGUAGAAGACAAAUCCUUCCUGUUAACUUGGCUGUUCUGGGUGCCCUUAUUUGCUUACACCUUGUGGCAAGUUCUCUAUUUUCUCAUUGUCAAUGUCCUACGUCAGCAGAGACUAUUAAGAGAUCCUGAAGUCAUGACUUCUUACAGGUUUUGAACUGUCCGCUAAUAAUAUGUUUAUAUAUUACAUAUGCAUAUGGCUGUUCCUGUGGGUUCCUUUUAUGAAUUGUUGUAACUUGUUUACACUGUCUUCUUUUCAUUCAAUCGACUUCCAUUAGGGAGCUCUCAAAAAAGGCACAAAAAGCAAACAAUGUAUGGUGGCGUUUAAGUGGUUUGCUUGGGGAUCAGAAUCGCUUGUUCAUGUACAUUUUGUUGCAAGCUAUAUUUACUGUGGCAACUAUGGCGCUGACGGUCCCAAUCUUCUUGUCCUAUGAGCUACAUGUGGCUUUCCAAUUACUCAAGGUUUCUGCAGCUGUAUGGAAUGGAGGAAGCUUUCUGGUAGAUGUAAUGCCAAGACAGGUGAUUCUCAAAGAGAAGAAGAAAUCAGAGAUGAAGCCAGCACCUAUCCAGCAAGACCAGUCCUUGAACGAGCAGCAAGAACAAUCCCCAAAUGUGAUGGAGAAUACAAUGAAGACCAUUGAUUCUGCUGACCUAGGAUGCACUGAGUCUUAACGGCCAUGAGUCAAUAGUUUUCUGACAAUUGUAACUCACCUGUCUUACUUUGUUGAAUUUUCCAUGUCAAAAAUGUUAUCUUUCAACGAUGCAAAGUAGAUGGCCUUCAAUUCAACUUGCUCCGGUUGAUUACUCAAUAGAGUUGCUUGUUUGAAAAUGCUACCAUGGCUUUCAGAAGAAUGUCCGGGUGUUAAAAGUCCCAUAUACAAGCAACAAAAAUAGGCAAACGAAAUUUUCGUGUUAGGCUCAUGGCUCCAUAUUUGAAUCUGGCGUGCAAGCAGCGGAAUCAGUCUUCUUCUUCUUCUUCUUUUUACAAUUUUUUUUUCAAUUUAUCUAAAGAUUAAAAUUUCAUUAAGUGAACGGAGUGAGAAGCAAAGCUAUAAGUCACCAGAACACAACAAAAAUGAUGCCCAACAGUUAGCCUAUUACAAAAACAGGGCCUAAGGCCAGUACAGAAAGAACACUAGAGAAGAUAACAUUGGCAAUGGCCUCGCUGAAGUCACGGCAUGCUGAAGAAGGGAAGUGCAGCGCCACAGGACCACUGUCUGGAACAAAGAGAAAAGGUCUCGUCCCUUGAAGAGGUAAAAGACCGGCCGAAGCACAAGUAGAGCCUUAGGCCCAACCACAACACUUUCAUAACAACGAACAGAACCUCCAAAGCCACAGAUCACAACAUCAUUUUAGCCAUCUGCGAGAGGUGGAAGGUAGAGCCCCAUUGCAUCCAUGGCCUUAAAAGAUUUGGUGAUAAAGGGCCGACGGAGAUACCCAAGAUGCCCUUCCACAACGCUAGAAACAGACUACUCUAUCCCCCGUACAAGACCCAAACCCAUUGUAGCUUCCUCACUCCAGAUCUACCAAUAAACCUCCAAGAAGUCAAUGGAACCUAUACGCAAGCCACAACCAACAAACACGGCAGAAAAAAGAACCCUUUCCCUUUGAGCAUCAAGUCCUCUGUAAAAGAGGCGGGGAGAGAACAUGGCAAAGGAGAGGGAGUUGACCCCGAAAGCUGUUAAGCUUAGCUGUAAUCCUGUGUUGUAACAGAAUCGGUUUUACUGGUGAUAUAAAGAACCAUCAGCUGUAAUGUUCAAAGUUCUGACAAUUGCCGUGUGUAGAGGUUUUUCUUAUCAUAUUUGAUUCUGGCAUUUCAAGCAACCAGAAAAGGGAGAGCCUCUGACAUCAGGAACAAAAAGUAAAAAAAGAAAUAAUAAAAGAAAAGAAUGAAGAAUACAUAUUGUUUUCUCGUUCAAACAAUUGCCUAUAAAAUGCGGCACAUGCCAGUUACACUCAAACCACUAAACCCCAAAACUCGUCAAACUAUAUAGAAGAGGCCUGGCUAAAAAAUAAUAAAAAAAAUAUAAACGAAGCCUGUUGCAGGCUUGUGAAAUUAUGAGGCACCAUUGCCUACCCCUAUGAUUGAACAUUAUCACAUUAAAUGUGAUGUGAACUCUCAAAAAAUACCCCUCUUGUUUAUGCAACGCGAGGGAAAGAGUAAUUGACCUGUACACCAAAGAUGGUAGCCUGAGACUGAUGCAAAUUAUAAUAUACACAUGGAUGGUGAUAAAAUAAUGAGGGUUUAUGCGCAGGUCUUAGCUUGUUCAUGCACAGGGCGUACCAUGGACAUCCAUGAGAACAAGGUUCCGGUACAGGGGUUGAACAUGAACAUCACUCGGAGCGUGGAAGCAAGAACCCAAAACCAGAGUUUUCACGAAUUAAUGGCGGAGGAUCUAUGUCAGCUAUUUCUACUUGUUGCAUUGACUUGGAGAUGUCAUCCACAGUGAAUGGGAUGCUUGAGUCAUCAUCUAACAGAAAAGAACUGCUGACAGCAUUGUUUGAGUCCUCAGUCAUCAUAAUUCUCAUACUAGAUAUAACAUCUGAAGAUACACUAUGCGUGCCAUAUUUGUCAUCCCAGUACAUGGUACUGAUCCUAUAUAGUUGCUGUAUGCUCAGCACCGGACAAAGUUCUUUAGUAAUUUCAUUCAAGGUCUUCUUAGGCUUUUGAUGUAUGACUAGGAAUCCAACAGCCUGUCUUAUAUGCUUCAAUUCAUCCCAUGCAGAGCCCGCAAAUUCUGCAGUUGCCUCAUGGCACCACUGCUCUAAUUCAGCCAAACCUGCUUUCACAUAUUCUCCAUUACUGAAUGAGCAACACUCACGCCGCAAAAGAAGACUAUUGAAUAACUGAACAUUGAUAAAUGAGAAUAUCUGAGUGAACACUUUACGCAUUAAGAAGGGAGGCACAUAGUUCGCCUUCAUUAUCAUCAAAUAACUGUUUAAGCUUUUAACAAUGCUUUGCCAAUGAGCGAUUAAAGCUUGUUGAGCAACAGCGUUAGCCUGAGAGCGUCCUUUUACUAAACUUGCCCGGGAAGUUCUUGGUGCCUGAAUACAUAAACCAAGCAAUGGAGAGAUCUCUUUCUUCAAAUUGUCCCUUAUCAUUCCAUAUAUCUUUUCAAGGAAGGCAGUAAGCUGUUGUUUAAACAGUAAUGCUGGAUACUUGGCCUCAACCUGUCGUAAAUCGUCCAGUCUACUAAGUGCUCGACCAUUAAGGAAUGAGAGUCCAGCACUUUGAGGAGAAGCCCUUAGCCCUUGAGACAUCCUCCCAAAAAGAGAAGCUGAUGCCGUUCUCCGCCGUUGUGGUGUUAAACUGGCUGCUCCACUUGCUUUGAGUGUGUGUUGGAGCAGCAGCAACAAUGUGGAUGAAUUUGAUAACCAAUAGGCUAAGACAUCAUUGUUAUCUGGGACCUCUAUAGCUGAAGCUACUGUUUGGAUAAUACGAUCAAACACGCUAGUCCUUUCAACUUCAAAUGACCUCCAGUGAAGAAGACAUUUGUAUAUGAUGCAAGCAGCAACUGGUUUGCCUCCUGAGAAUCCCAAGUUUUGUGAUACACACUUGAUCAGUAGAUCCUGGUU
rnacentral:misc_RNA from 1 species